GGACACCUCUUUUUCUUGCAUGUGUGACAUGUGUCCUGGCAGGACGCCUCAUGGGGACACCUCACCCUCUUCUUGGCCUAUAAAUAGGCUACCCCUCAUCCUUCUUCUCUAAGACAUCAAGAGCACUAGAGAAAGAGAGUGAGAGGAGAGAGAAGCUCUAAAGGUGAAAGCCCAAGAAGGAGUUUUUGAGCUGUGAAGGUCCAUCUUCUUCCUUCUUCUCCCUUUCAGCCAACCUUCUGCCUCCCUGCGAGCUAGCACUCCCCGGAAAGCUGAUCAUUUUGAAGCUUCACGUGGACGAGUCAUCGAGGUCG
rnacentral:lncRNA from 1 species